rnacentral:rRNA from 1 species
GAUGAACGCUGGCGGCGUGCCUAAUACAUGCAAGUCGAGCGAACAGACGAGGAGCUUGCUCCUCUGACGUUAGCGGCGGACGGGUGAGUAACACGUGGAUAACCUACCUAUAAGACUGGGAUAACUUCGGGAAACCGGAGCUAAUACCGGAUAAUAUAUUGAACCGCAUGGUUCAAUAGUGAAAGACGGUUUUGCUGUCACUUAUAGAUGGAUCCGCGCCGCAUUAGCUAGUUGGUAAGGUAACGGCUUACCAAGGCAACGAUGCGUAGCCGACCUGAGAGGGUGAUCGGCCACACUGGAACUGAGACACGGUCCAGACUCCUACGGGAGGCAGCAGUAGGGAAUCUUCCGCAAUGGGCGAAAGCUUGACGGAGCAACGCCGCGUGAGUGAUGAAGGUCUUCGGAUCGUCAAACUCUGUUAUUAGGGAAGAACAAAUGUGUAAGUAACUAUGCACGUCUUGACGGUACCUAAUCAGAAAGCCACGGCUAACUACGUG